rnacentral:lncRNA from 10 species
AAAGGGCAAUCCCCCGAGCCGGUUCCCAGGCCGGGUGGAGACCAACUCUGGGGUCUGUUGGUGGGAGAGUGGGGAGCCCGUCUUCUGCUGAGUGCUGCCGCCCCUUCCCAGGACAGCGGAGGUGGAACUUCGUCGCGCUGCAACCCCCGGCUCGGGGUCAUAGGCAGAAGGGACUUGCCUUGUCUCAGAUGAUACUUUGGAUUGUGAACUUUGAGUUAAGACUUUGGAGGACUGUUGGGAAGGCAUGAUUGGUUUUGAAAUAGAUGGGAUCUCACUAUGUUACCCAGAUUGGUCUUGAACUCCUGGGCGCAAGCCAUCCUCCCACCUCAGCCUCCCAAAGUGCUGGGAUUACAGGAUCCUGGGGCGUCCUUUGGCAGUCGAUUGCACCCUGCACUAGAGAGAAGUCCAGGAAUGAUAUAUUCUUGGGCUGUAUUUCUCUACCCUGGAGUUCAUCCAGUUCAUCCCAGAAACACUGACCUGAUUACUGUGACAAAGUCUGAUGGAUAGACCCUUUCUGUUGACCUUGUGGCGUUUUUCUUUCAUGUGGAAGUUGGAAGACAAGGUGAAAGGGGCCAAAAGUU